GGCCCAGUAACAGAGAUACCCCAGAGAGAUGUCCCCGUCCUCUGUAUUCCGAGGAUUGUACAGAGGAGAAUCACAGGAUCCCACAGGAGGAUCAGGUAGGUGGGAUAUAGGGUCUCCCCAAUAUACAAAAGUGACUGUCACUAUAUGAUCUGUAGAGGAGCUGUGUGUCUUAUACACUGAUGUUAUGCUGAAUAAUCUCACUGUAUGCAAAUGUCAAUAUAGUGGUUUUUGUUUCUCAUACGUCCUAGAGGAUACUUCGGUCCACUUCAUGACUAUGGGGUAUAGACGGUUCCGCAGGAGACAUGGGCACUUUAAGACUUUUCAAGGGUGUGAACUGGCUCCUCCCUCUAUACCCCUCCUCCAGACCUCAGUUUUAGAAAUGUGCCCAGGCAGACUGGAUGCACUACAGGGAGCUCUACUGAGUUUCUCUGAAAAGACUUAUGUUAGGUUUUUUAUUUUCAGGGAGGACUGCUGGCAUCAUACACAGGCACUGCAGGGCGCUGGGGGGCACCCUGGGCAGCAUAUAACCUACAAAACUGGCAGAAAUAGGACAUAAGAUGCCGAGGCACAGUCCUACCCCCGCCAGUAUAAUAAAUUUACCUCAUAAAUGCUGAGGAGAGAUGCGCCAUUGCGGGGGCGGAGCUUCCUCCUCAGUCAGCCAGCACACUGCUCAGCGCCAUUUUCUCUCUCUCCUCAGGCUGCAGAGACAACGCUGGUCCUCCUCCACUACUGAAUACAAGUAUCAGGGUGCAAAACGGGGGGACACAGUGAAAUUGGUGCUUUAAAGCUAUAUACAUCAUAAAAAGCGCUGCAUGUGAGUGGGCAUUUUGUGUUUUCACAGACAUUGUGUUACUGAUGCUGGGUUUGUGAACUGGCUGCUCCUUUCUGUGUCCCUCUGACAGAUUUUACUGUGGGUCUGUCCCAUAUAAGCCCCGGAGUGUCUGUGGUGUGGUUGUGCACGUGUUUGACAUGUCUGAGGCAGGGAGCUCUCCCCUGAGGGAGCCAUUUUAGGGACACAGAGUUGUAAUGUGGUGGCGCUGCCAGCACACCAUGGUGGUCAUUCCGAGUUGUUCGCUCGUUGCCGAUUUUCGUUAUUUUGCGAUUAUCCGCUUACUGCGCAUGCGCAAUGUCCACAGUGCGACUGCGCCAAGUAAAUUUGCUAUGCAGUUAGGUAUGUUACUCACGGCAUUACGAGGGUUUUUCUUCGUUCUGGCGAUCGUAAUGUGAUUGACAGGAAGUGGGUGUUCCUGGGUGGAAACUGACCGUUUUAUGGGUGUGUGAGAAAAAACGCUGACGUAUUUUGGAAAAACUCGGGAGUGGCUGGAGAAACGGGGGAGUGCCUGGGCGAACGCUGGGCGUAUUUGGGACGUCAAACAGGAACGAUACUGACUGAAAUGAUCGCACUGGCAGAGUAAGUCUCGUGCAACUCAGAAACUGCUAAGAAGUGUGCUAAUCGCAAUAUUGCGAAUCCGUCGUUCGCAAUGUUGAGAAGCUAAGAGUCACUCCCAGUUUGCGGCGGCUUAGCAUGUGCAAAGCUGCUAAAAGCAGCUAGCGAGCGAACAACUCGGAAUGACCACCCAUGAGCCUGAAUUGGUGAAAGAGUUACGUCAUAGUGUGAAUCAUAUCAGUAAGAGAUUGGAUAAGUCUGAGUCUCAUGCAGAGAGCUGGAGAAAAUCAGUGGAAGAUGUGACUUUUUUAUGGUUCUGCCUUUUCAUCCACAAGGGACCCCUCUGGGUCACAUAAGAGACCAUUUGCUCAAAUAAUACAUACUGAUACCGACACGGACUCUGAUCCCUGUGUCGAUGAUAGUGAUUCCAGGGGUAAUAGAUCCUAAUUUGGUAAAAAGCAUUCAAUACAUAAUUGUUGCUAUAAAAGUUACGGAAGCCCCUCCUGUACCUCAGGAGACGGCUUAGUUUUAUAAAGAAAAGAAAAUUAAUGUAACUUUCCCUCCUUCUCAGGAGCUAAAUACUCUAUUUGGGUGAGUUUGGGUAAACCCAGAAAAUAAAUGUCAGAUUCGCAAAAGGAUUCCAGUUGCUUAUCCUUUCCCGGCAGAUGACAGGAAAAGAUGGGAGUCACCCCCGGUGUUAGACAGUACCCUGUCAAGGUUAUCUAAAAGGUGAUUCUCCCUGCGCCUGGGACGGCUUUACUAAAGGAGCCGGCAGACUGCAAGUUGGAGACUACGUUAAAAUCUAUUUAUGUGGCCAAUGGUACGCUGCUCAGGCCUACCAUUGCAUUGCUCUCGCACUGGCGGCCACUCAGGUAAACUAAAUUACCCCAUAUAUACCCCUACUUACAGCUAUACAAAUCCACCAGUGAGCAAGCCUAUCCUUAGGUGAAACGGUCCGUCUGGCUGAUCAAGUGGGAUCAAUGUGGGACUGCACAGCCCACUCCCAGGAAAGCAACACUUUGGUCUAGUAAGCGCCCAUUCUGGGCAACAAGAUCUUUGAUACUUCAAUUCAAUUAUAUAUUCUUUUUCCCAACUAUCAUUAUUUACAUAAAAAAGGUCUUUUUUCAUUAUCAAGUUUUGAUCACAUGCAUUGUUAAGCUGCAAAAGUGCAACAACCUGAGUGCAAGGAUGCAUAUAAAUUUUUCUGCAGCAGGAGAUAGUUAAACCUCUCCUUUAGUGAGUUAUCUCUGUCACAAGGCAGAAUAAGAUACUUUAGACUAUAUUCAAUUUAAAUCGAUAACGUCUUAAGACCCGUUAAAUUGUGGUCACGAGAUAAUUUUUCCGGGCGAAAAGUUAUCGGUAUAUUCAUUUACGUGUUUAUCGGGUGAUAUGUGUGUUUUCGUUUUUGCUUUCGCCCGUAACCGAUUUUCAAUGGUUAAAGAUAGGUUUAUCGCGGAAUGAUAUUCAAUUUUUCGAAACCGAUUUUUUUCGGGCGUUUAGACGGGUACUUAUCGCCAUUUCACUUCACCUACUGCUGAGUAGGUGAAAUAUAUUUUAAAGUUAUUAUUUUGCUGCAAAAAGGCAAUAGUUUAGUUGUUUUAUUUUUUUAAAAGAGUGCCCAAUGUUUUGUUUUUUAAUUUAUCUUUUUUUUUAAUAUUUUUAAAAGCAUUUUUCGAUUAUUUUUUUGGUUACUGUAAUAUUCAUCCCCAUGAUGCAAUGCAAAAGUCCCCAUGAUGCAUUGCUCCAGUUUUGACAGGAAUCUGUCACUCCUCUCUUGGGACUUCAAGGAGAAACACAGCAAUUGUGCAGUCUGCUGUUGGAUACGUUUUUUUGCGGUUAGUUUGCGGAUUUAUUACUUGACAACUUUUUAGCUCUGUCUACAAUCAUGGAGCCAUUCACUGAUACAGUUUGGAUGUUCAUGAUCCAGGCUGCUGUUGUGACACAGGAGGACAGGACAGGUGAGGAAGGUGAUCAGUCAAUUGCUCCAGGUGGUGAGGUAGAGCGCGUUUCAAUUCCACGCCCACGCCCACGUAACUAUCGUUGUAGGCGUGUGCUGGCAGACUUCUCCGAGAAGGAUGUGAUUAAGAACUUUCGCUUAUCCUCUCGUUCAAUCCAUAUGCUGUAUGACUUGAUGGAGCCGGACCUUGAACCACGGGUGCCCACUAAUCACGCAGUCAGUGGUAUGUCUAAACUGCUGGCUGCAUUACAUUAUUUUGCGUCUGGCACUUUCCAGCCAGUUUUGUCCCUAACAGUCGGUUUUUCACAGCCCACAUUGUCGCGUAUUUUAACUCAGGUCAGUACGGCUUUCCGUAAAUUAACGACCCAUUUUAUUAAUUUUCCAAGCACUGUCAGCGAAUGGAGGGAGGUCAAAUUGGAUUUUUUUGAGAAAUCACGCUUUCCCAAUGUUCUGGGCGCGAUAGAUUGCACUCAUGUGGCGAUCGCACCACCAAGGCAAAUGGAAGAGUGUUUUCGUAAUAGAAAAACUUUCCAUUCCUUGAAUGUUCAGAUGGUGUGUGAUGCCAAAUUGAAAAUAACCAAUCUUUUUGUGGGCUUCCCUGGGUCGGCCCACGAUUCUUUUAUUUUGAGCCAGUCAUCUGUCUUUCGUGAUUUUGAAGAUUGCAACAUGCCGGAUGGGUGGCUGUUGGGUGAGUUUUUUUUUCUUUCUGUUUUUUAAUUUUUUUAAUUGUGGUUUAUUAUUUAUGUUUUUUUCACCCACUUAUUUAUUUAAGGUGAUGGUGGAUACCCUAACAAGAGUUGGCUUCUUACCCCAUUGUCCAAUCCCGAUAGUGAUGCUGAGCAUAUGUACCAAAAAGCGCACAUUACAUCGAGGGGUGUAAUUGAAAGGACCUUCGGUGUGCUUAAAUCCCGGUUUCGCUGUUUAGACAGGUCCGGGGGUACGCUGUUAUAUUCUCCGGAUAAAGUUUGCAAUAUAGUUAAUGCUUGUUGUAUUUUACAUAAUAUUUGUGUUGCAAAUCGUUAUCCGGAGAAUAUAGAUCCAGGUGUUUGGCCGGAUUCGGACAUUUGCACAGAAUCACUUGAGGGCAUGAAUGAUGGAGGUGAUACUCGUCAAGCACUAAUUGAUGGAUUCUUCACUGGUGAGUUUUAUUUAAUUGCCUUUCAUUUUGUUUGUGUUUGUUAGAUACUGAUCAUACUAAUUUUUUUUUUUUUUUAUUGCAGAAGAAUGUGCUUGACAUUUUCUUACGAGUUUGGGCCCUGUUGUUUAAAAUAUGGCCAUUUGAUUUUUCUUGUUUGCUGUUUGAAGCACAGUUGUUUAUUUUUCGAUUUACUUGUUGGAGAAUUUUUGAUAAAAUUAAUAUCCCAUCAGGUAUGAAAUUUGUAGAUUAGUUAUGAUGUGAAUGAGUUUGCUAUUUCAAAUAUGUUAAGUUUGUGUCAUUUUUAAAAAAAAUGUACUUUUUGCUGCUACCUUGACUCCAUGAGAGGCGUCUACUUUGUGCCCACACAUACCUGUCCCUGGCUCCUGUGAUCCAUCCUUCCCUGAAGUUAGAUGCACUCUCCACUUCUUUGCUGGCAAAAGGAAGUUGAUGCUGAGGGAUCCCUUCAGUCUCCUUUCCGCUGCCGUUAACCUUGACUCCAUGAGAGGCAUCUACUUUGUGCCCACACAUACCUGUCCCUGGCUCCUGUGAUCCAUCCUUCCCUGCAGUUAGAUGCACUCUCCACUUCUUUGCUGGCAAAAGGAAGUUGAUGCUGAGGGAUCCCUUCAGUCUCCUUUCCGCUGCCGUUAACCUUGACUCCAUGAGAGGCAUCUACUUUGUGCCCACACAUACCUGUCCCUGGCUCCUGUGAUCCAUCCUUCCCUGCAGUUAGAUGCACUCUCCACUUCUUUGCUGGCAAAAGGAAGUUGAUGCUGAGGGAUCCCUUCAGUCUCCUUUCCGCUGCCAUUAACCUUGACUCCAUGAGAGGCAUCUACUUUGUGCCCACACAUACCUGUCCCUGGCUCCUGUGAUCCAUCCUUCCCUGCAGUUAGAUGCACUCUCCACUUCUUUGCUGGCAAAAGGAAGUUGAUGCUGAGGGAUCCCUUCAGUCUCCUUUCCGCUGCCGUUAACCUUGACUCCAUGAGAGGCAUCUACUUUGUGCCCACACAUACCUGUCCCUGGCUCCUGUGAUCCAUCCUUCCCUGCAGUUAGAUGCACUCUCCACUUCUUUGCUGGCAAAAGGAAGUUGAUGCUGAGGGAUCCCUUCAGUCUCCUUUCCGCUGCCGUUAACCUUGACUCCAUGAGAGGCAUCUACUUUGUGCCCACACAUACCUGUCCCUGGCUCCUGUGAUCCAUCCUUCCCUGCAGUUAGAUGCACUCUCCACUUCUUUGCUGGCAAAAGGAAGUUGAUGCUGAGGGAUCCCUUCAGUCUCCUUUCCGCUGCCAUUAACCUUGACUCCAUGAGAGGCAUCUACUUUGUGCCCACACAUACCUGUCCCUGGCUCCUGUGAUCCAUCCUUCCCUGCAGUUAGAUGCACUCUCCACUUCUUUGCUGGCAAAAGGAAGUUGAUGCUGAGGGAUCCCUUCAGUCUCCUUUCCGCUGCCGUUAACCUUGACUCCAUGAGAGGCAUCUACUUUGUGCCCACACAUACCUGUCCCUGGCUCCUGUGAUCCAUCCUUCCCUGCAGUUAGAUGCACUCUCCACUUCUUUGCUGGCAAAAGGAAGUUGAUGCUGAGGGAUCCCUUCAGUCUCCUUUCCGCUGCCAUUAACCUUGACUCCAUGAGAGGCAUCUACUUUGUGCCCACACAUACCUGUCCCUGGCUCCUGUGAUCCAUCCUUCCCUGCAGUUAGAUGCACUCUCCACUUCUUUGCUGGCAAAAGGAAGUUGAUGCUGAGGGAUCCCUUCAGUCUCCUUUCCGCUGCCGUUAACCUUGACUCCAUGAGAGGCAUCUACUUUGUGCCCACACAUACCUGUCCCUGGCUCCUGUGAUCCAUCCUUCCCUGCAGUUAGAUGCACUCUCCACUUCUUUGCUGGCAAAAGGAAGUUGAUGCUGAGGGAUCCCUUCAGUCUCCUUUCCGCUGCCGUUAACCUUGACUCCAUGAGAGGCAUCUACUUUGUGCCCACACAUACCUGUCCCUGGCUCCUGUGAUCCAUCCUUCCCUGCAGUUAGAUGCACUCUCCACUUCUUUGCUGGCAAAAGGAAGUUGAUGCUGAGGGAUCCCUUCAGUCUCCUUUCCGCUGCCAUUAACCUUGACUCCAUGAGAGGCAUCUACUUUGUGCCCACACAUACCUGUCCCUGGCUCCUGUGAUCCAUCCUUCCCUGCAGUUAGAUGCACUCUCCACUUCUUUGCUGGCAAAAGGAAGUUGAUGCUGAGGGAUCCCUUCAGUCUCCUUUCCGCUGCCGUUAACCUUGACUCCAUGAGAGGCAUCUACUUUGUGCCCACACAUACCUGUCCCUGGCUCCUGUGAUUCAUCCUUCCCUGCAGUUAGAUGCACUCUCCACUUCUUUGCUGGCAAAAGGAAGUUGAUGCUGAGGGAUCCCUUCAGUCUCCUUUCCGGAACACUGAUUUGGACUUUUCUUUGAUCCUUUCAACACAACCAAAUCAACUUUCUUAUCAAACAGAACAGAAGGUUGCAAAGUUUAUAAUUUCUUAAAGUUUACAAUGAAAAAUAAUUUUCAAGGAUUUUUAAAUGUGUUUAUUAAAGUGAUGAAUUAAAUUUGUUUUGUACAUGGCAAUGAACUGUAAACAAUAUACUUGAGUUUGCUUUUUUAUUUAAGUUAUUUUAAUAAACUUACAUAAAACUAA